CCGGAGUGGGCACGAACUGCAUGGUCUGGGGCGCGGCGUUGUUCCUGAGCGUGGCCUCGAGGUUCUGGAUCAUGGGCAUAAUCAUGGCACCCAUGGGGCUGGACAUGACCUCGUUGGGCAGGUUCAAUAUGGGGAUCCCGGCCCCGUGCUACCGCCCGUCUGUUGGAGAUGCUCUUACAGAUGAAGAAGCUUGUGAGGAGUGGACCUUGGCAAUGGCGGAGCUAGAAAAUUUGCAAAGCCUAGGCAUACCGCAAGUCACUUUUUUUUAAGUACUUUACUUUGAUGUACCAAGAACCAUAUGUAUCGCAUAUUUGGAUAAAUGCACUCUAUGUACUAGUGUUUCAUAGAUCAUGUAUCUUUUUUCGGAAGGAUCAUAGAUCAUAUAUUUAACAAAAAAGUGGGCACUACUCACACAACUAACCAUUUUGGUACCCUAGGGGAAUCGAUCGAUUGAUUGCAGGCUAUGACUGUUCGCGCGUUCCUCUGAUUGAUCGAUCGCUGGAGAUGCGCGCCCACGACAGCCUUUGCUGCGCUAGGGCAAGACACUCCUCCCAGCACUAUAAAAAGCAACCCACCCACAACAUAGUAUCUCCCCUCCUCUCGGCACCAGCAGCAAGCACACGCAAAACUCACAAGCAGCUAGCUAGUUAGCUAUGACCCAAAUGCUAGUGCUCGGUGUUGUUGCCAUAUUCCUCACCUCCUUCCUCCUCCUGGCAAUGUCGACAUCACGAGUAGAGAAGCACCUCCACCUCAUAGGCUCCCUCCCACACGUCUCCCUUGGAGACCUUUCAAGGAAGCACGGUAUGCUCCUCCGACUCGGCGCCAUUCCCACGCUCGUCGUGUCUUCCCCUAGCGCGGCAAAGGCUGUCCUGCGCACCCAAGACAACGUCUUCGCGUCCCGGCCUCCCUUCACCAUAGGCGACAUCCUCUACACAGGCUCCACCAACAUCGCCAAUGCCCCCUACGGCGAAGCGACUACUUGUGGCAGAUGAGAAAGAUCAUCACAACCCAUGUGCUCACGGCCAGGAAGGUCCGCUCCAACCUCACCUCCUGCGAGAAGGAGGUGCGACUUGUCCUGGCCAAGCUAACGCAGGCACAUUCUUGUUUGUUCUUCCCCAAUAUCCCCACUUCUCUUGCAUAUUAGUUUUGACACCUAUGGCAACUAUCAACCAUGAUAAAACAAAAACAGGAAACUACAGAUGGCUCGGGCCAUGCCCGACUCUGCUCACCAAUUUAUAUGGAAAAAAGAUGCCUUUGCACUGUACCUACUAGUUCAUCCAACAUGUGCCAAUGGACACUCACAUAAGGUUUAUGAUGUUGUUCAGGAGGAAGCAAAACAUGUGUGUUCCUACAUUUUCCACUUUUUCAGCGCAUGACUGAGGACCAAGUAUGGCACUAUCGUCCGUAUCGUGAAGCAAAAAUUGCAUGGAAGGGUUGCCCUGCUUAUACUAGUCCUACUGCUGAUUGAAUUUGGCAACAUUAUUGACAGUCAUAUUUAUUUUUUUAGAACAUAGACGCCAGGGACGUCCGGCUUUAACUUAAUAAAGCCCACAACAUAGGCAGCGUGCAUGACAUAACAAACCAACACUCGGAACCACGAAACAAAUCUCGCAGGGUCUAAGAUCACAGCAACGUAAGAGAACGGCGGCGAGAUAAAGUGCAAUACAAAGCAUACCCGGCCUAGCAAAAGAGCACGCAGGCUCGGAGGAAACACGACCAAAAGGGGCUGCACAUCCCUAUGAUGCAGCAGACGCGGACGAUGGAGCUCGAGACGCCGAGUAGACGAAGCGAAGGCGUAGAAGAGCUUGGUGAUGGAGAUCAGAGUCCUGUUGUCUUCCCAGCGGGGCCCAUUGCUGCAAGAACACGAUGCAUUUGAAGAUAACGUCAGCAGGGUGGGAGGAAAACACUCCCUCAAUAGUAAACUUGUUACGAGUAUGCCAAAGAGCCCAUAGCAUGGCCGCCGCACAUGUCCACAUGACCCAACGCGAAGGGCCAUGGACGAAGGACAGAGAGGACACCAACUCGGAGCGGGAGCGUGGAUCCCAAUCCACGCCCGCGGCCUCACGAACCGCACUCCAGGCAAAACACGCCAAAGAGCACCGGAAGAAAGUGUGGUCUGCAUCUUCCGGGACACCACACAAAGCACAAGGACCGGAGGUAGGGCCAUUGCAUUUAGCUAUAUUGAUAGAGGUAGGAAGGCGAUCUUGGCAAAGUUGCCAGAGGAAGACCUUGAUCUUGAGCGGAAUUUUAGCCUUCCAAAGCCCCGUAGCAGCCGAAGGGACAUGAUCGCGGGAUAGCUCUUUAUAUAGGGAACUGACAGUGAAUUUGCCAGAGCCCGUAAGUCUCCAAGAGACCGAGUCGGCGGAGUUCGAUAGGUUAACAUCCGCGAUCAAAGCCCGAAGGAGAUCCCAAUCCAGCAGCUCCGGCCCCGAGAGCUCCCUUCUGAAGUAGAUUGGAGGCGGGGCGGAGCUAAGAGCCGAAGCAACCAGUUGGUUGGGCUCGACCGCGAUGCCAUAAAGGUGGCGAAACUCCGACCACAGGGGCUGAUUGCCAAUCCAAAGGUCGAGCCAAAAGCGCGUCGAGCGCCCGUUGUUAACCGCAAACCUCGCGUCCCUGGCGAAGAAUGGUUUGAGGGCUUGGAUUGAGUUCCAGAAAGGAGACCCAUGAGGUGCCGCCUUGAAGAAGUUUCCGUUCGAGAAGUAUUUCGCACGAAGGAGGUCAGCCCAGAGUCCAGUCUCUCCCUGAGACAGCUUCUAGAUCCACUCGCACAUGAGUGCAACAUUCAUCAACUUAGAGUUGAUGAUCCCGAGGCCCCCUGGGCUUUGGGACGACAAACGGCUUGCCAUUUAACCAUAUGGUACUUCCGUUUAGGUCCCACUCCUUCCCAAAAGAAACGUGCCCUCGGGGUGUCCAUUUUGGUGUGGAACCCAUCAGCCAACAAGAACAGACCCAUGGCAAACAUAGGCAGUGAUGAGAGGCUGGAGUUAGUUAAUAUAAGUCUAGCCCCUGAAGACAUAAAUCUACCUCUCCACGGACAAACCCGGUCCGCAACCUUGGUGUUGAGAGGUUCCCAAUAGGCAAUCGAGCAUUUCUUCGCCGCGAUCGGGAGACCGAGGUAAUUGAAUGGGAACUGCCCAAGUUUGCAGUUAAGCAAGUUGGCUACCCGCUGACUUUCGGCCGCGUCCAUCCCUAUGGACACCACUUCACAUUUGUGAAAGUUUAUUUUUAACCCAGACAUGAGUUCAAAGCACAAGAGAAUGGCUUUGACCGUUGCGAUACUAUGUGUAUCCAGCUCAAAAAGAAGGAGAGUGUCAUCCGCAUACUGCAGGUGCGACGCGCCCCCUGUAAUCAGGUUGCCUGCCACUCCCCUGAUGUGGCCAGCCAAACAGGCUUUGUCUAGCAUGGCGCCAAAGCGUCUGCCACAAAGUUAAAAAGCAGCGGCGAGCCUGGAUCCCCUUGACGCAACCCUCGCUUGUUGCGGAAGAAGUUCCCUACUUCUCCGUUCACCGCAAUAGCCAUUUGGCCCCCCGAGACCAGUUGCAUCAUGCGGUGAACCCAAACCGACGAGAAACCUCGGUCCAGGAGGACUUCUCGAAGAGACUCCCAGUUCACUCGAUCGUACGCCUUCUCAAAGUCUAAUUUUAGAAGAAUUGCCGGUUGGCGGGAUCGUUUGAGCGAGUGAACGAUCUCUUGGAGGGCCAACGGUCCCUCCAAGAUGUUGCGACCACGAAUAAAUGUUGACUGGUUCCUACUAAUGAUACGGUGAGCAAUCGAAGACAAGCGUGUAGAACAAGCCUUAGCACAUAUUUUAAACGGGACGUUAAUCAACGCAAUCGGCCGAAAAAGCCUAAUAUGAUCCGCACCUGGAACUUUGGGGAUAAGAGAGAGAACCCCAAAGUUCAGGCGAGAGAUAUCUACCGUACCCCGCAUAAACCCAUUACAAACGUCGAAAAUUGGUCCCGUAAGCACUUGCCAAAACCGUUUAAACAUCGCCACCGUCCAACCAUCGGGACCGGGGGCGGUGUCCGUUUUCAUCCCCAGAGAUGCCUUGUCAAUCUCUUCAGGGAGGAAGGCCAACCCCAGGCCCUCGUUUUCCUCGUCCGUGACCCGCAACACGGGGUCCCAAAGAUCCGACUGCAGCCUAGCACGGGACUCCUCCCUGGAGCCCAUGAGUUGGAUGUAGAACUCGUAGAUGUGACGGACGAUGUCCUGUUGAUGCAAGAGGAGCCCCUACUCGGAUUGCAAUCUAAGAAUGGCGCACUUGCGGCGCCAGCCAUUUGCGUAGGCAUGGAAGUAUUUAGUGUUCGCGUCACCCUUGAGCGUCCACUUGAGACCACCGCGCCUACGCCAGUACUCCUCCUCUGCUCGUAGGAGGGACUCGACCUAGGCUUCUAAAGCGUAACGCUGAGCGCAGUCUUGCUCCGAGAAGACCCGCACAUCUGCCGCCGCAUCCAAUUGUGCGAGGUCCGCGGUCAAACGCAAUCGGAGCGGCUUAUCUUCGCGGCCUUGGUUGGCCCCCCACCCCUUGAGGGCCGCACGCAAACCCGCCCCUACGGAAAUCCAGAACUCCAUAGGCCCGCGCGUGUGCCUGACCCGGGCGACACAGUUCUCCCAUUUGGUGAGGAAGAUUUGCUCAAAGUCUGGAGACUCUAACCACGCGGUUUCAAAGAAAAAGCGAGGGAUGCGUUUUAACCUCUCCUCCCCUCAGGAGAGGAUUAGGGGAACAUGGUCCGACCCUAUCCUCGUUACAGCGUGUAGAGAGCACACGGGGAAAAGCAUCUCCCACUCCGCGGACAUAAACACCCGGUCUAGCACCGACCGGACCGGCGUAAGCUGCUUGUUGGUCCAAGUGUAGCGUGCGCCCACCCGAGCCACUUCCCUAAGGGCCAUAGAAGCGAUUGCAUUAUUAAACAAGGACACCCUUGUCCAGUUAAUGAUGUCGUUAUUCUUAUCCGCACCCGAACGGAUUAAGUUGAAAUCGCCACCCACCAGCAGUGGCAAAUUACGCACCCCCAAGGACGCAACCUUCUCCCGAAGUUCCCCCGGGAACUUCUGCGAGUGUGAGUGGUCGGCAGGGCCGUAAACUACAAUAACCUCCCACUCGCGAAGAGUUGCGCGGUGGCGCACGUGUGCAGAUAAGAAGAAUCUACCAGCAUCCCACGUCACCACCUCGCAGCACACGUGGUUGAUGCCAAGCAACAUGCCCCGCGAGUGCCCCACCGUCUGCACCCACUGCCACGCAAAACGCUCAAGAGGGUCGACAGCUAACAGAUCCCGAUGAUUAAAAUCAGCCUUGAUGGUUUCCUGCAAGCCUACUACGUCGAUCCCCUCUUCCCGAAUGAAUUCUUUUAACUGGGUCCGCCUCCCAGCGUGGCCGAAGGCCCGGAUGUUCCAGAAGAUGAAAUGCAUUAAAUAAUGUGAUUGCGGAGGCAGAUACCGCGAGCGGUAACCGCUUUGGCCACUCGCCGUGUCUAGACAGGACGACAGGUUGAGGGGGACGGCGCAACAUCUACUGCUAAGUCCUCCUGAUCAGGCCGCGCAACAGCCACCAGAGAAGCCCCUGCUUCCUCUGCGUAUGGCGCAACAUGGGCCGACGCUGGCUGGGCGAGCACGGCCUGCGCGAUUUCCUUCGCACGGAUGAGAGACAAAAGCUCGCGCGCUUCACCCUCAUUAGACAUGACAACGCCACUAUCCUCUAAGAUCCCCCCCUAGACACUCAUCGGAAUACUCGUCAAAGAUCGUAAAACAGGGCAUGGGAUUACCUUUGAUUUCUCGGUUCUUCUGAGCUAGCAAGAGUUGGGCGCGUUGGAGAGCUGGAAGGUUGCCCUUGGCGCCUUUGAGCGCGAGCUUGCCCUCUCCUGCGUCGCCGGAGUCGUCACCACCAUCUUGGAGCUCUUGGCCAUGGAUAUGGUUGCCACCUUGGACACCUCCCCCCGAAGUGCGUCAGAGGCAGGGGAGGCCAGCGCCAUCACCACCGGGCGGAGUGAGGCAGGCUUGCCCGCACGAACCGAGGGUGGGCUCGUCGGCGCCACCGGGGUAGACUUGCGGCCCGCUGGCUUCUUGGGAAGCCGCGUCCCGCCCCCACCGAGGCCGGGCACAGACUUCGGGGAAUGUGUGGAGAAGGCGUGCGGUCACCCACCUCCACUGCCACCGGGGUGACAAGCAUCGAGCGGCCCUCCGAGUCGCACGACGCUGAGACGCCCUUGUCGAGGUCGAGUCCGAGCGAUAAGUUGGAGCCGUACUGGUUGAAGCCCGUCUCGUUGCUGCCCACCACCACCUGACGCUCCUCUUGGUCCUUCGCGGCACCCGCAGCCAGAGCCGCGGCCGGAGCAUCCUUGUCCUUGAGCCCGAGCUUGUCCCAAGACGCGGUAUCAAUGGAGUCGUCACCCAUGCUCGUGUCGUGGUCUUUGUCCUUGCCAUCUGGCCCCUGGUCCGCGUUAGCUGGGGGAGGGGGAGGGGGAGCCACGCCCUGUAGGCCCCCCGUCUCGGCCUCCAUCCAAAAGGUGAAUCCCUCACUGUUGAACCACACUUGGACGUACCCGCUUAGCUUGGUCGGGGAACGACGGGAGAAGCGCAUCCACACUGGGCCUAGCCCCACCAGGGACGCCUUGUCCACCUCCAUUGGGCACCCGAUCAUCAAAGUCCCAGCCAUAAGGCGAUCCACACAACGGUGCUUGGGAGGCACACCCCACAACUUGACCCAUACGUCCGGCAUGAUCUCGGCCUUGGGCUCCUCCGAACGUGCUUCCUUGAUUUCCGCCAUGAUGUCAUUGAGGGAGAGGUACAGCUUACCGCUGCGUGUCGCCAUCCGCAACAUGGCCUUGUUGGGAAAGACAACCGAGAACAAGUCGUCGCCGAUGGCCGUCACCUGCCAAUUCCACUCCCCCUCGAAGAGGUGAGGGAGCUCCGCCUCCAGGAGAGGGAUCGACAGCAGGCCAGGCGCCGCCGAGAUAAUCGCAGCAUCCGCCACCUACAGGGUGCAGACCUCCUCGCCCUCUGUCUCCACAUAGGGCAGGCAGAAGAAUCCCUCACCGGGGAUGGCGUUGCCCAUGAUCUGGAGCAACAGAGGCCGCCCCCGCGUGGGGCAGUGCGCCGACGCGUGUCCCUCCUCGUGGCAGACGACGCAAAGGGGCUUGAAGAGGCACAUAUUUUGGUAGUGCCCCACCCGGCCACACUUGAAGCACUCCGGCCCAUCAAGCUCCUCCAUUGGAAUCGAGGUGUCGACCGAACCCUUCGAAGCCGACGGCCCGGCCGCCAACUGCAGCAACGCCGAUCCGACCCCCUUUUGCUUCCGCUUCUUGGCCAACGGAUCCCCAAUCCGCUCACCGCUCGGAGGGAACAGGGACUCCUUGCGCUUGAGCUCCUUCUUCUGCUCCAGGCCCCGGAGCCGAUACUCCUCCUUCCUCUUCUUUUUCCGCUCGCGCUCCUCCUGCGCCUUCCUUUCUUGCUCCGCGAGCCACCAAGGAGGCGGCGGCCCCCAGCCACCUUCCUCCGCCGGUGGUGCCGGCACCUUCGCUAGCGCCUUCGCCCGCAGAUCUUUCUCGCGCCGACGCUCCGUCGCCGGGAUCGGAGGCGACAUAGGCGGCUUGUCCACGCAACGGGAUCCCAUCCGCACUACGGUGGCGAAUGAGCAGGAGAGGGGAGGGGGAGAGGCGGAGCGAUGCAGGCGGCGAGCGAGAUGCCCGAAGCGCCGCACUUUAGAGGGGGAGGCAGGAAACCCUAGCGAAAGAUCUAGGGCACCCUUUGGCAGUCACACCCACCUAUAUAUAGGAGUGGGCGGCCGCGCCUCCAUCUCUGCGGUGGGCCUGGGCCUAGACACAGGCGCACACGAGGCCACAGGGCCAGGCUGACCAUGCCCAAGCACUGGGGAGCGCCCCUGCACCCCCACUGGUAAAGAGACGGGCGGAACAGCCGUUGGGCCCCCCGGCCCACUCCCUGGCAGGCUGGGCCAGUCCACCAGGCCCAGCAAGGGCGCUGGCCCAGCCGAUGGCUCUCCCGCAACCCUAGCCUGGAUCCCCGGCUCCCUGCCCUGGGCAUCCCCGCCGCCGUUGUCAACCCAUGUCAACGCCGGCGCGCACGCCGAGACCUGGAGCGGACCAGCCAGCACCAGAUCCCGGCAACCUACCUCCGGCAGGACACACGAGCGGCCCUCUGGGCCCGCAUCCACAUCCUUCGGCGGACGCCAGAUCCGCGGCGCCAGUAGCCGCCCGCCAUGGCCACCAGGGGCAAAGGCGCGCUGCCGGCCAGCCACGAGGGAGCCCCCAAGCUCCUCCGCUCGAGCGACAAAGUCACCCACCGAGAGCACCGCACGGGGCCUCGGCGAACCACCACCACCACUUACCUGGCUACUCACCUCCUCGUCGUUGCCGUCGGAGUCGAUCCCCUCCAGCGCCCAGAACCUGCCGCCGGAGAGGGGCAAGGCGAGGGACCACCCGUCGGACGGCACGCUCCACCAUGCGCGCCCCUCAGUAGGCCGCACCACAGUCUAGCCGCCCGCCGCCGCCACGGGCCCUCGAGCGUCGCCUUCCGCAGCAUCGCCCCCCGCGUCGCCAGACCGAAACGCCAUCACAAUCACAGGCAUAUUUUCCUCAGCAGAAUGAUCUUAACCUCUGAUAAAACCCAAUUUAGCAGUGAACCAAGAAAUCUAGCAUUGAAGAAACCAUAUAGGCAUAUAAUUCGGUACCAUCAAAACAAAUCAGACAAAUAAAAUUGAGUUCCAUGCUACAAUACAAGUAAGCAACCGUUCCCAAUUACUAUCACUUUGCAAUUGCAUCAAAGAUCGAACGUGUGUAAAAUAGUUCCAGGUCACUAGGCCUGCAUACUAGCGUCGUCGCCGUGGCACUCCAUGACGCGACGCAUGGCCAGCAAAAGCCCAAAAGCUGUAAUGUCCUAUCACCCCGAUGUCAUACGGCAGUCCAAUUAGCAGUGCAUUGGGUCACAAUUUGACAACAAAAUGAUGAGAAAAAUAAAGCUGUCAGUUUCCACCACUUUUUUUGCUAAUGUUGAAUGUGAAUCACGACCAUAUCAACCAAACACACAAAAUGCAUAUAGUAAGUUGGAUUGUGACAAAAUCUAUUUCAAAUUUGGACAAAUACUACAAUAAUCGUCUCUCUUGGUGUUUGUUUCUCGCUAACAAACUUGCACAAGCAUUUUGUGCAGGGCUCACACCUUCUUUUGUCGACUUCAUGGAUCCUUAGCAUGUAGCAAGGUUCGGCUUCUCUCCAGUUGGUCUGUUAGUGCAUCCGUAAUGUAGAUACCCAAAUCUAUCAAAGGCUCUCAUUUCUCCUCCUUAAUUCAGUUAUUAUUAAUUGGAAAAACAGCUUGGAGCCAAAUAGAAUGACCCAAACAUUAUAUGAAACUAGUUCAGUAUUGUUCACUUCUCCUGAAACUAGAUCUGAACCUGUUGUGUCCAGCACCUGAAAUGUAUUCAGUGAUGCAUGUAGCAGAGGCAUGCUUGGUUGUUCUUCCCUAAUAUCUCAAUUCAGCUGAGGAAACUACAAAUGGCUCAUGCGUAAUACAGCAAAACCAAUCAUGCUUCACUGCCGAUCCGCAAGUACAUCCAACUUUGCAGUGUUGUCACGCAUGUGACCAUGCACACUCACACCAGGUUUAUGAUAUUGUGAAGUAGGAAGCAUAAUAUGUAUGUUCCUGCAUUUCCACACAUUUUCAGCGCUGAGGACAAGCAAAAAUUGCAUGGAAGGGUUGCAUACUACUCCUACUGCUGACUGAAUCAGCAUUGUUGACAGUCAUGUGACGUUGCUGCUAAUCCAGAUAUUAUAUCAGGACUUUGUUAGGCAUAUAUUUCCUCAGCAGAAUGAUCUUAGCCUCUCAUAAAACCCAAUUUAGCAGUGAACCAAGCAAAUCUAGCACUGAAGAAACCAUAUAAUCAUAUAAUUCCGUACCAUCAGAAUAAAUCAGACAAAUAAAAUCGAGUUCCAUGCUGCAAUAAGUAAGCAAUCGUCCCCAAUUACUACCAGUUUGCAAUUGCAUCAAAGAUCGAACGUGUGUAAAACAGUUUCAGGUCACUAGGCCUGCAUACUGGCGCCGUCGCCGUGGCGCUCCAUGACCCGGCGCAUGGCUAGCGCCGCCGCCUCGCUUGCCCGCAGCGUCCCACUCGCCAUGAGCGCUGCCGAGAGGGUCAGCCAUAGCCGGCGCUGCUGCCGCGGCGGCUUUCUCCGGAGUCUGCUUCUCGACCUUCUUCUCUUCUUCUUGCUUGGAAGAAGAGCCAGUGGGCGCUGCACUAGCAGCAGCGGCAGUUGUAGAACUUGUAGGUGUUUUGCUGGCCGCCGUCGCCGUCGCAGCCGUUGGCUUCGGCACGGAGAGUGAGGCCGGAGUGGGCACGAACUGCAUGGUAUGGGGCGCUGCAUUGUUCCUGAGCGUGGCCUCGAGGUUCUGGAUCAUGGGCAUGAUCAUGGCGCCCAUGGGACUGGACAUGACCUCGUUGGGCAGGUUCAGUAUUAGUCGGGGAUCCCGGCCCCGCGCUACCGCCUGUUUGUUGGAGAUGCUCUUACAGAUGAAGAAGCUUGUGAGGAGUGGACCUUGGCAGUGGUGGAGCUAGAAAAUUUGCAAGGCCUAGGCAUACCGCAAGUCACUUUUUUUGAAAGUACUUUACUUUACUUUACUUUGAUGUACCAAGAACCAUAUGUAUCACAUAUUUUGAUAAAUGCACUAUAUGUACUAGUGUUUCAUAGAUCAUCAUAUAUCUUUUUUUCGGAAGGAUCAUAGAUCAUAUAUUUAACAAAAAAGUGGGCACUACUCACACAACUAACCAUUUUGGUACCCUAGGGGAAUCGAUCGAUUGAUUGCAGGCUAUGACUGUUCGCAUGUUCCUCUGAUUGAUCGAUCGCUGGAGAUGCGCGCCCACGACAGCCUUUGCUACGCUAGGGCAAGACACUCCUCCCAGCACUAUAAAAAGCAACCCACCCACAACAUAGUAUCUCCCCUCCUCUCGGCACCAGCAGCAAGCACACGCAAAACUCACAAGCAGCUAGCUAGUUAGCUAUGACCCAAAUGCUAGUGCUCGGUGUUGUUGCCAUAUUCCUCACCUCCUUCCUCCUCCUGGCAAUGUCGACAUCACGAGUAGAGAAGCACCUCCACCUCAUAGGCUCCCUCCCACACGUCUCCCUUGGAGACCUUUCAAGGAAGCACGGUAUGCUCCUCCGACUCGGCGCCAUUCCCACGCUCGUCGUGUCUUCCCCUAGCGCGGCAAAGGCUGUCCUGCGCACCCAAGACAACGUCUUCGCGUCCCGGCCUCCCUUCACCAUAGGCGACAUCCUCUACACAGGCUCCACCAACAUCGCCAAUGCCCCCUACGGCGAAGCGACUACUUGUGGCAGAUGAGAAAGAUCAUCACAACCCAUGUGCUCACGGCCAGGAAGGUCCGCUCCAACCUCACCUCCUGCGAGAAGGAGGUGCGACUUGUCCUGGCCAAGCUAACGCAGGCACAUUCUUGUUUGUUCUUCCCCAAUAUCCCCACUUCUCUUGCAUAUUAGUUUUGACACCUAUGGCAACUAUCAACUAUGAUAAAACAAAAACAGGAAACUACAGAUGGCUCGGGGCAUGCCCGACUCUGCUCACCAAUUUAUAUGGAAAAAAGAUGCCUUUGCACUGUACCUACUAGUUCAUCCAACAUGUGCCAAUGGACACUCACAUAAGGUUUAUGAUGUUGUUCAGGAGGAAGCAAAAUAUAUGUGUUCCUACAUUUUCCACUUUUUCAGCGCAUGACUGAGGACCAAGUAUGGCACUAUCGUCCGUAUCGUGAAGCAAAAAUUGCAUGGAAGGGUUGCCCUGCUUAUACUAGUCCUACUGCUGAUUGAAUUUGGCAACAUUAUUGACAGUCAUAUUUAUUUUUUUAGAACAUAGACGUCAGGGACGUCCGGCUUUAACUUAAUAAAGCUCACAACAUAGGCAGCAUGCAUGACAUAACAAACCAACACUCGGAACCACAAAACAAAUCUCGCAGGGUCUAAGAUCACAGCAACGUAAGAGAACGGCGGCGAGAUAAAGUGCAAUACAAAGCACACCCGGCGUAGCAAAAGAGCACGCAGGCUCGGAGGAAACAUGACCAAAAGGGGCUGGACAUCCCUAUGAUGCAGCAGACGCGGACGAUGGAGCUCGAGACGCCGAGUAGACGAAGCGAAGGCGUAGAAGAGCUUGGUGAUGGAGAUCAGAGUCCUGUUGUCUUCCCAGCGGGGCCCAUUGCUGCAAGAGCACGAUGCAUUUGAAGAUAACGUCAGCAGGGUGGGAGGGAAACACUCCCUCAAUAGUAAACUUGUUACGAGUAUGCCAAAGAGCCCAUAGCAUGGCCGCCGCACAUGUCCACAUGACCCAACGCGAAGGGCCAUGGACCAAGGACAGAGAGGACACCAACUCGGAGCGGGAGCGUGGAUCCCAAUCCACGCCCGCGGCCUCACGAACCGCACUCCAGGAAAAACGCGCCAAAGAGAACCGGAAGAAAGCGUGGUCCGCAUCUUCCGGGACACCACACAAAGCACAAGGACCGGAGGCAGGGCCAUUGCGUUUAGCUAUAUUGAUAGAGGUAGGAAGGCGAUCUUGGCAAAGUUGCCAGAGGAAGACCUUGAUCUUGAGCGGAAUUUUAGCCUUCCAAAGCUCCGUAGCAGCCGAAGGGACAUGAUCGCGGGAUAGCUCUUUAUAUAGGGAACUGACAGUGAAUUUGCCAGAGCCCGUAAGUCUCCAAGAGACCGAGUCGGCGGAGUUCGAUAGGUUAACAUCCGCGAUCAAAGCCCAAAGGCGAUCCCAAUCCAGCAGCUCCAGCCCCGAGAGCUCCCUUCUGAAGUAGAUUGGAGGCGGGGCGGAGCUAAGAGCCGAAGCAACCAGUUGGUGUUGGAAAUAUGCCCUAGAGGCAAUAAUAAAUUAGUUAUUAUUAUAUUUCCUUGUUCAUGAUAAUCGUUUAUUAUCCAUGCUAUAACUGUAUUGAUAGGAAACUCAGAUACAUGUGUGGAUACAUAGACAACACCAUGUCCCUAGCAAGCCUCUAUUGACUAGCUCGUUGGUCAACUGAUAGUCAUGGUUUCCUGACUAUGGACAUUAGGAGAAUGAUGUGAUGGACAAGACCCAAUCCUAAGCCUAGCACAAAGAUCGUAGUUCGUAUGCUAAAGCUGUUCUUAUGUCAAGUAUCUUUUCCUUAGACCAUGAGAUUGUGCAACUCCCGGAUACCGUAGGAAUGCUUUGGGUGUACCAAACGUCACAACGUAACUGGGUGACUAUAAAGGUGCACUACAGGUAUCUCCGAAAGUGUCUGUUGGGUUGGCACGAAUCGAGACUGGGAUUUGUCACUCCAUGUGACGGAGAGGUAUCUCUGGGCCCACUCGGUAGGACAUCAUCAUAAUGAGCACAAUGUGACCAAGGGGUUGAUCACGGGAUGAUGUGUUACGGAACGAGUAAAGAGACUUGCCUGUAACGAGAUUGAACAAGGUAUCGGCAUACCAACGAUCGAAUCUCGGGCAAGUACAAUACCGCUAGACAAAGGGAAUUGUAUACGGGAUUGAUUGAGUCCUUGACAUCGUGGUUCAUCCGAUGAGAUGAUCAUGGAACAUGUGGGAGCCAACAUGGGUAUCCAGAUCCCGCUGUUGGUUAUUGGCCAGAGAGUUGUCUCGGUCAUGUCUGCAUGGUUCCCGAACCCGUAGGGUCUACACACUUAAGGUUCGAUGACGCUAGGGUUAUAAAGGAAGUUUGUAUGUGGUUACCGAAUGUUGUUCGGAGUCCCGGAUGAGAUCCCAGACGUCACGAGGAGUUCCGGAAUGGUCCGGAGGUAAAGAUUUAUAUAUGGGAAGUCUUAUUUUGGUCGCCGGAAAAGUUUCGCACUUUAUCGGUAUUGUACCGGGAGUGCCGAAAGGGGUCCGGGGGUCCACCGGGGAGGUCCACCUGCCCCGGGGGGGCCACAUGGGCUGUAGGGGGUGCGCCUUGGCCUAUAUGGGCCAAGGGCACCAGCCCCAAGAGGCCCAUGCGCCAAGGAGACUUGGGGUGGGGAGAAUCCUAAAAGGGGAAGGCACCUCCGAGGUGCCUUGGGGAGGAUGGACUCCUCCCCUCCCUUGGCCGCACCCCUUCCUUGGAGGAAGGGGCAAGGCUGCGCCNNNNNNNNNNNNNNNNNNNNNNNNNNNNNNNNNNNNNNNNNNNNNNNNNNNNNNNNNNNNNNNNNNNNNNNNNNNNNNNNNNNNNNNNNNNNNNNNNNNNNNNNNNNNNNNNNNNNNNNNNNNNNNNNNNNNNNNNNNNNNNNNNNNNNNNNNNNNNNNNNNNNNNNNNNNNNNNNNNNNNNNNNNNNNNNNNNNNNNNNNNNNNNNNNNNNNNNNNNNNNNNNNNNNNNNNNNNNNNNNNNNCUCCCUUGCCCCUAUAUAUAGUGGAGGGGAGGGAGGGCAGCCGCACCUGAAGCCCUGGCGCCUCCCUCCCUCCCGUGACACCUCCUCCUCUCCCGCAGGUGCUUGGCGAAGCCCUGCAGGAUUGCCAUGCUCCUCCACCACCACCACGCCGUUGUGCUGCUGCUGGAUGGAGUCUUCCUCAACCUCUCUCUCUCUCUCUCCUUGCUGGAUCAAGGCAUGGGAGACGUCACCGGGCUGUACGUGUGUUGAACGCGGAGGUGUCGUCCGUUCGGCACUAGGAUCUCCGGUGAUUUGGAUCACGACGAGUACGACUCCUUCAACCUCGUUCUCUUGAACGCUUCCGCUUAGCAAUCUACAAGGGUAUGUAGAUGCACUCUCCUUCCCCUCGUUGCUGGUUUCUCCAUAGAUAGAUCUUGGUGACACGUAGGAAAAUUUUGAAUUUCUGCUACAUUCCCCAAUAGUGGCAUCAUGAGCUAGGUCUAUUGCGUAGAUUCUUUGCACGAGUAGAACACAAAGUAGUUGUGGGCGUUGAUUUUGUUCAAUAUGCCUACCGUUACUAGUCCAAUCUUGUUUCGACGGUAUUGUGGGAUGAAGCGGCCCGGACCGACCUUACACGUACUCUUACGUGAGACAGGUUCCACCGACUGACAUGCACUUGGUGCAUAAGGUGGCUAGCGGGUGCCAGUCUCUCCCACUUUAGUCGGAACGGAUUCGAUGAAAAGGGUCCUUAUGAAGGGUAAAUAGCAAUUGGCAUAUCACGUUGUGGUUUUGCGUAGGUAAGAAACGUUCUUGCUAGAAACCCAUAGCAGCCACGUAAAACAUGCAAACAACAAUUAGAGGACGUCUAACUUGUUUUUGCAGGGUAUGCUAUGUGAUGUGAUAUGGCCAAGAAGAAUGUGAUGAAUGAUAUGUGAUGUAUGAGAUUGAUCAUGUUCUUGUAAUAGGAUUCACGACUUGCAUGUCGAUGAGUAUGACAACGGGCAGGAGCCAUAGGAGUUGUCUUUAUUUAUUGUAUGACCUACGAGUCAUUGAACAACGCCAUGUAAUUACUUUACUUUAUUGCUAACCGGUAGCCAUAGUAGUAGAAGUAAUAAGUUGGCGAGACAACUUCAUGGAGACACGAUGAUGGAGAUCAUGGUGUCAUGCCGGUGACGAUGAUGAUCAUGGAGCCCCGAAGAUGGAGAUCAAUGGAGCUAUAUGAUAUUGGCCAUAUCAUGUCACUACUAUAUAAUUGCAUGUGAUGUUUAUUAUGUUUAUGCAUAUUGUUUACUUAGAACGACGGUAGUAAAUAAGAUGAUCCCUCAUUAAAAUUUCAAGAAAGUGUUCCCCCUAACUGUGCACCGUUGCGAAAGUUCGUCGCUUCUAAGCACCACGUGAUGAUCGGGUGUGAUGGAUUCUUACGUUCACAUACAACGGGUGUAAGACAGAUUUACACACGCGAAACACUUAGGUUGACUUGACGAGCCUAGCAUGUACAGACAUGGCCUCGGAACACAAGAGACCAAAAGGUCGAGCAUGAGUCGUAUAGUAGAUACGAUCAACAUGAAGAUGUUCACCGAUGAUGACUAGUCCGUCUCACGUGAUGAUCGGACACGGCCUAGUUGACUCGGAUCAUGUAAUCACUUAGAUGACUAGAGGGAUGUCUAUCUGAGUGGGAGUUCAUAAGAUGAACUUAAUUAUCCUGAACAUAGUCAAAAGAUCUUUGCAAAUUAUGUCGUAAGCUCGCGCUUUAGUUCUACUGUUUUAGAUAUGUUCCUAGAGAAAAUAUAGUUGAAAGUUGACAGUAGCGAUUAUGCGGACAAUAGAAAGCUUAUGUCCUUAAUGCACCACUCAGUGUGCUGAACCCCAAACAUCAUUUGUGGAUGUUGCGAACAUCGGACAUACACGUUUUGAUAACUACGUGAUAGUUCAGAUAAACGGUUUAGAGUUGAGGCACCAAAGAUGUUUUCGAAACGUCACAGAACAUAUGAGAUGUUUCGAGGGCUGAAAUUGGGAUUUCAGGCUCGUGCCCACGUCAAGAGGUAUGAGACCUCCGACGAUUUUCUUAGCCUACAAACUAACGGAGAAAAGCUCAAUCAUUGAGCUUGUGCUCAGAUUGUCUGAGUGCAACAAUCACUUGAAUCGAGUGGGAGUUGAUCUUCCAGAUGAGAUAGUGAUGUUUCUCCAAAGUCAUUGCCACCAAGCUGCUAGAGCUUCGUAGUGAACUAUAACAUAUCAAGGAUAGAUAUGAUGAUCCUUGAGGUAUUCGUGAUGUUUGACACCGCGAAAGUAGAAAUCAAGAAGGAGCAUCAAUUUUGAUGGUUGGUGAAACCACUAGUUUCAAGAAGGGCAAGGGCAAGAAGGGAUACUUCAUGAAAUGGAAAAACAGCUGCUGCUCUAGUGAAGGAACCCAAGGUUGAACCCAAACCCGAAACUAAGUGCUUCUAUGAUAAGGGGAACAGUCACUAGAGCGGAAUUACCCUAGAUACUUGGUAGAUGAGAAGGCUGGCAAAGUCGAUAGAAGUAUAUUGGAUAUACAUUAUGUUAAUGUGUACUUUACUAGUACUCCUAGUAGCACCAGGGUAUUAAGAUACCGGUUCGGUUGCUAAGUGUUAGUAACUCGAAAUAAAAGGCUACGGAAUAAACGGAGACUAGCUAAAGGUGAGCUGACGAUAUGUGUUGGAAGUGUUUCCAAGUUUGAUGUGAUCAAACAUCGCACGCUCCCUCUACCAUCAAGAUUAGUAUUAAACCUGAAUAAUUGUCAUUUGGUGUUUGCGUUGAGCAUAGACAUGAUUGGAUUAUGUCUGUUGCAAUACGGUUAUUCAUUUAAGGAGAAUAAUGGUUACUCUAUUUAUGUGAAUAAUACCUUCAGUGGUCUUGCACCUAAAGGAAUGGUUUAUUGAAUCUCGAUCAUAGUGAUACGCAUUUUCAUGCCAAAAGAUAUAAGAUAGUUAAUGAUAGUACCACUUACUUGUGGCACUGCCAUGUAAGUCAUAUUGGUAUAAAACGCAUGAAGAAGCUCCAUGUUGAUGGAUCUUUGGACUCACUCGUUUUUGAAAAGUUUGAGGCUUGCGAACCAUGUCUAUUGGUGUAUACGCAUGAAGAAACUCCAUGCAGAUGGAUCGUUUGGACUCACUUGAUUUUGAAUCACUUGAGACAUGCAAAUCAUACCACAUGGGCAAGAUGACUGAAAGCCUAGUUUCAGUAAAAUGGAACAAGAAAGUAACUUGUUGGAAGUAAUACAUUUUGAUGUGUGCAGUUCAAUGAGUGCUGAGGCACGUAGUGGAUAUCGUUAUGUUCUUACUUCACGGAUGAUUUGAGUAGAUACUGAGUAUAUUUACUUGAUGAAACACAAGUCUGAAUUAUUGAAUGGUUCAAGUAAUUUCAGAGUGAAGUUAAAGAUCAUCGUGACAAGAGGAUAAAAUGUCUAUGAUAUGAUCAUAGAGAUGAGUAUCUAAGUUACGAGCUUUGGCACGCAAUUAAGAUAUUGUGGAAAUUGUUUCACGAUUAAUACCGCUUGGAACACCAUAGUGUGAUGGUGUGUCCGAACAUCAUAGUUGCACCCUAUUGGAUAUGGUGCGUACCAUGAUGUCUCUUAUCGAAUUACCACUAUCAUUCAUGGGUUAGGCAUUAGAGACAACUGCACUCACUUUAAUAGGGCACCACGUAAUUCCGUUGAGACGACACCAUUUGAACUAUGGUUUGGAGAAACCUAAGCUUUCGUUUCGUAAAGGUUUGGGGCUGCGACGCUUAUGUGAAAAAGUUUCAAGUUGAUAAGCUCGAACCCAAAGCGGAUAAAAUGCAUCUUCAUAGGACACCCAAAACAGUUGGGUAUACCUCCUAAUUCAGAUCCGAAAGCAAUAGGGAUUGUUUCUUGAAUCGGGUCCUUUCUCGAGGAAAAGCUUGUCUCGGAAAGUUGAGUGGGAGGAUGGUGGAGACUUGAUGAGGUUAUUGAACCGUCACUUCAACUAGUGUGUAGCAGGGCACAGGAAGUUGUUCCUGUGGCACCUACACCAAUUGAAGUGGAAGCUUAUGAUAGUGAUCAUGAAGUUUCGGAUCAAGUCAUUACCGUACCUCGUAGGGUGACAAGGAUACGUACUACUUCAGAGUGGUACAGUAAUCCUGUCUUGAAGGUCAUGUUGCUAGACAACAAUGAACCUACGAGCUAUGGAGAAGCGAUGGUGGGCCCAAAUUCCGACAAAUGGUUAGAAACCAUGAAAUCCGAGAUAGGAUCCAUGUAUCAGAACAAAGCAUGGACUUUGGUGGACUUGCCCAAUGAUCGGCAAGCCAUUGAGAUAAAUGGAUCUUUAAGAAGAAGAUGGACGUGGACGGUAAUGUCACCGUCUAUGAAGCUCGACUUGUGGCGAAGAGUUUUUCACAAGUUCAAGGAGUUGACUACGAUGAGAUUUUCUCAUCCGUAGUGAUGCUUAAGUCCGUCGGAAUCAUGUUAGCAUUAGCUGCAUUUAUGAAAUCUGGCAGAUGGAUGUCAAAACGAGUUUCCUUACCAGUUUUCGUAAGGAAAGUUUGUAUGUGAUACAAUCAGAAAAGUUUUGUCGAUCCUAAGGAUGCUAAAAGGUAUGCUGGCUCCAGCGAUCCUUCUAAGGACUGGAGUAAGCAUCUCGGAGUUGGAAUGUAUGCUUUGAUGAGAUGAUCAAAGAUUUUGGAUUUACACAAAGUUUAUGAGAAACUUGUAUUUCCAAAUAAGUGAGUGGGGGCACUAUGGAAUUUCUGAUGAGUAUAUGUUGUUGACAUAUUGAUGAUCGGAAAUGAUGUAGAAUUUCUGAAAAGCAUACAGGGUUAUUUGAAAAGUGUUUUUCAAUAGAAAACCUGAAUUAAGCUGUUUGAACAUUGAGCAUCAAGAUCUAUGAGGAUAGAUCAAAAUGCUAAAUGGUACUUUCAAAUGAGCACAUACCUUGACAUGAUCUUGAAGGUGUUCAAGAUGGAUCAGUCAAAGAAGGAGUUCUUGCCUGAGUUGUAAGGUAUGAAGUUAAGAGUUAAAGCUCAACCACGGCAGAAGAGAGAGGAAGGACGAAGGUCAUCCCCUAUGCUUCAGACAUAGGCUCUGUAGUAUGCUAUGCUGUGUACCGCAUCGUAAGUGUGCCUUUCCAUGAGUCAGUCAAGGGGUACAAGAAUGAUCCAGGAAUGGAUCAUUGGACAGCGGUCAAAAUUGUCCUUGGAGUAAAUAAGGACAUGUUUCUCGAUUAUGGAGGUGAUAAAGAGUUCGGCGUAAAGGGUUACGUCGAUGCAAGCUUUAACACCUAUCCGAAUGACUCGAGUAGCAAACCGGAUACGUAUAGUGGAGCAACCAUUUGGAAUAGCUCCAAGUGGAGCGUGGAAGCAGCAUUUACAAUAUGACCUAGAGAUUUGCGAAGUACAUACGGAUCUGAAUGUUACAGACCCGUUGACUAAAACCUCUCUCACAAGCAAAACAUGAUCAAACCCCAGAACUCAUUGAGUCUUAAUCACAUGAUGAUGCGAACUAGUUUAGUGACACUAGUAAACUCUUUGGAUGUUGGUCACAUGGCGAUGUGACCUGUGAGUGUUAAUCACAUGGCGAUGUCAACUAGAUUAUUGACUCUAGUGCAAGUGGGAGACUGUUGGAAAUAUGCCCUAGAGGCAAUAAUAAAUUAGUUAUUAUUAUAUUUCCUUGUUCAUGAUAAUCGUUUAUUAUCCAUGCUAUAACUGUAUUGAUAGGAAACUCAGAUACAUGUGUGGAUACAUAGACAACACCAUGUCCCUAGCAAGCCUCUAUUGACUAGCUCGUUGGUCAACUGAUAGUCAUGGUUUCCUGACUAUGGACAUUAGAUGUCGUUGACAACAGGAUCACAUCAUUAGGAGAAUGAUGUGAUGGACAAGACCCAAUCCUAAGCCUAGCACAAAGAUCGUAGUUCGUAUGCUAAAGCUUUUCUAAUGUCAAGUAUCUUUUCCUUAGAGCAUGAGAUUGUGCAACUCCCGGAUACCGUAGGAAUGCUUUGGGUGUACCAAACGUCACAACGUAACUGGGUGACUAUAAAGGUGCACUACAGGUAUCUCCGAAAGUGUCUAUUGGGUUGGCACGAAUCGAGACUGGGAUUUGUCACUCCGUGUGACGGAGAGGUAUCUCUGGGCCCACUCGGUAGGACAUCAUCAUAAUGUGCACAAUAUGACCAAGGGGUUGAUCACGGGAUGAUGUGUUACGGAACGAGUAAAGAGACUUGCCGAUAACGAGAUUGAACAAGGUAUCGGCAUACCAACGAUCGAAUCUCGGGCAAGUACAAUACCGCUAGACAAAGGGAAUUGUAUACGGGAUUGAUUGAGUCCUUGACAUCGUGGUUCAUCCGAUGAGAUCAUCGUGGAACAUGUGGGAGCUAACAUGGGUAUCCAGAUCCUGCUGUUGGUUAUUGGCCGGAGAGUUGUCUCGGUCAUGUCUGCAUGGUUCCCGAACCCGUAGGGUCUACACACUUAAGGUUCGAUGACGCUAGGGUUAUAAAGGAAGUUUGUAUGUGGUUACCGAAUGUUGUUUGGAGUCCCGGAUGAGAUCCCGGACGUCACGAGGAGUUCCGGAAUGGUCCGGAGGUAAAGAUUUAUAUAUGGGAAGUCUUAUUUUGGUCGCCGGAAAAGUUUCGCACUUUAUCGGUAUUGUACCAGGAGUGCCGAAAGGGGUCCGGGGGUCCACCGGGGAGGUCCACCUGCCCCGGGGGGGCACAUGGGCUGUAGAGGGUGCGCCUUGGCCUAUAUGGGCCAAGGGAACCAGCCCCAAGAGGCCCAUGCGCCAAGGAGACUUGGGGAGGGGAGAAUCCUAAAAGGGGAAGGCACCUCCGAGGUGCCUUGGGGAGGAUGGACUCCUCCCCUCCCUUGGCCGCACCCCUUCCUUGGAGGAAGGGGCAAGGCUGCGCCUCCCCCCUCUCCCUUGCCCCUAUAUAUAGUGGAGGGGAGGGAGGGCAGACGCACCUGAAGCCCUGGCGCCUCCCUCCCUCCCGUGACACCUCCUCCUCUCCCGCAGGUGCUUGGCGAAGCCCUGCAGGAUUGCCACGCUCCUCCACCACCACCACGCCGUUGUGCUGCUGCUGGAUGGAGUCUUCCUCAACCUCUCCCUCUCUCCUUGCUGGAUCAAGGCAUGGGAGACGUCACCGGGCUGUACGUGUGUUGAACGCGGAGGUGCCGUCCGUUCGGCACUAGGAUCUCCGGUGAUUUGGAUCACGACGAGUACGACUCCUUCAACCUCGUUCUCUUGAACGCUUCCGCUUAGCGAUCUACAAGGGUAUGUAGAUGCACUCCCCUUCCCCUCAUUGCUGGUUUCUCCAUAGAUAGAUCUUGGUGACACGUAGGAAAAUUUUGAAUUUCUGCUAUGUUCCCCAACAGUUGGUUGGGCUCGACCGCGAUGCCAUAAAGGUGGCGAAACUCCGACCACAGGGGCUGAUUGCCAAUCCAAAGGUCGAGCCAAAAGCGCGUCGAGCGCCCGUUGUUAACCGCAAACCUUGCGCCCCUGGCGAAGAAUGGUUUGGGGGCUUGGAUUGAGUUCCAGAAAGGAGACCCAUGAGGUGCCGCCUUGAAAAAGUUUCCGUUCAAGAAGUAUUUCGCACGAAGGAGGUCAGCCCAGCGUCCAGUCUCUCCCUGAGACAGCUUCCAGAUCCACUUGCACAUGAGUGCAACGUUCAUCAACUUAGAGUUGAUGAUCCCGAGGCCCCCCUGGGCUUUGGGACGACAAACGGCUUGCCAUUUAACCAUAUGGUACUUCCGUUUAGGUCCCGCUCCUUCCCAAAAGAAACGUGCCCUCGGGGUGUCCAUUUUGGUGUGGAACCCAUCAGCCAACAAGAACAGACCCAUGGCAAACAUAGGCAGUGAUGAGAGGCUGGAGUUAGUUAAUAUAAGUCUAGCCCCUGAAGACAUAAAUCUACCUCUCCACGAACAAACCCGGUCCGCAACCUUGGUGUUGAGAGGUUCCCAAUAGGCAAUCGAGCAUUUCUUCGCCGCGAUCGGGAGACCGAGGUAAUUGAACAGGAACUACCCAAGUUUGCAGUUAAGCAAGUUGGCUACCCGCUGACUUUCGGCCACGUCCAUCCCUAUGGACACCACUUCACAUUUGUGAAAGUUUAUUUUUAACCCAGACAUGAGUUCAAAGCACAAGAGAAUGGCUUUGACCGUUGCGAUACUAUGUGUAUCCAGCUCAAAAGGAAGGAGAGUGUCAUCCGCAUACUGCAGGUGCGACACGCCCCCUGUAAUCAGGUUGCCUGCCACUCUCCUGAUGUGGCCAGCCAAACGGGCUUUGUCUAGCAUGGCACCAAAGCGUCUGCCACAAAGUUAAAAAGUAGCGGCGAGCCUGGAUCCCCUUGACGCAACCCUCGCUUGUUGCGGAAGAAGUUCCCUACUUCUCCGUUCACCGCAAUUGCCGUUUGGCCCCCCGAGACCAGUUGCAUCAUGCGGUGAACCCAGACCGAUGAGAAACCUCGGUCCAGGAGGACUUCUCGAAGAAACUCCCAGUUCACUCGAUCGUACGCCUUCUCAAAGUCUAAUUUUAGAAGAAUUGCCAGUUGGCGGGAUCGUUUGAGCGAGUGAACGAUCUCUUGGAGGGCCAGCGGUCCCUCCAAGAUGUUGCGACCAAGAAUAAAUGUCGACUGGUUCCUACUAAUGAUACGGUGAGCAAUCAAAGACAAGCGCGUAGAACAAGCCUUAGCACAUAUUUUAAACGGGACGUUAAUCAGCGCAAUCGGGCAAAAAAGCCUAAUAUGAUCCGCACCUGGAACUUUGGGGAUAAGAGACAGAACCCCAAAGUUCAGGCGAGAGAUAUCUACCGUACCCUGCAUAAACCCGUUACAAACGUCGAAAAUUGGUCCCUUAAGCACUUGCCAAAACCGUUUAAACAUCGCCACCGUCCAACCAUCCAGACCGGGGCGGUGUCCAUUUUCAUCCCCAGAGCUGCCUUGUCAAUCUCUUCAGGGAGGAAGGCCAACCCCAGGCCCUCGUUUUCCUCGUCCGUGAUCCGCAACACGGGGUCCCAAACAUCCGACUGCAGCCUAGCACGGGACUCCUCCCUAGAGCCCAUGAGUUGGAUGUAGAACUCGUAGAUGUGACGGACGAUGUCCUGUUGAUGCAAGAGGAGCCCCUACUCGGAUUGCAAUCUAAGAAUGGCGCACUUGCGGCGCCGGCCAUUUGCGUAGGCAUGGAAGUAUUUAGUGUUCGCGUCACCCUUGAGCGUCCACUUGAGACCACCGCGCCUACGCCAGUACUCCUCCUCUGCUCGUAGGAGGGACUCGACCUAGGCUUCUAAAGCGUAACGCUGAGCCCAGCCUUGCUCCGAGAAGACCUGCACAUCUGCCGCCGCAUCCAAUUGUGCGAGGUCCGCGGUCAAACGCAAUCGGAGUAGCUUAUCUUCGCGGCCUUGGUUGGCCCCCCACCCCUUGAGGGCCGCACGCAAACCCGCCCCUACGGAAAUCCAGAACUCCAUAGGCCCGCGCGUGUGCCCGACCCGGGCGACACAGUUCUCCCAUUUGGUGAGGAAGAUUUGCUCAAAGUCCGGAGACUCUAACCACGCGGUUUCAAAGAAAAAGCGAGGGAUGCGUUUUAACCUCUCCUCCCCUCAGGAGAGGAUUAGGGGAACAUGGUCCGACCCUAUCCUCGUUUCAGCGUGUAGAGAGCACACGGGGAAAAGCAUCUCCCACUCCGCGGACAUAAACACCCGGUCUAGCACCGACCGGACCGGCGUAAGCUGCUUGUUGGUCCAAGUGUAGCGUGCGCCCACCCGAGCCACUUCCCUAAGGGCCAUAGAAGCGAUUGCAUUAUUAAACAAGGACACCCUUGUCCAGUUAAUGAUGUCGUUAUUCUUAUCCGCACCCGAACGGAUUAAGUUGAAAUCGCCACCCACCAGCAGUGGCAAAUUACGCACCCCCAAGGACGCAACCUUCUCCCGAAGUUCCCCCAGGAACUUCUGCGAGUGUGAGUGGUCGGCAGGGCCGUUAACUACAAUAACCUCCCACUCGCGAAGAGUUGCGCGGUGGCGCACGUGUGCAGAUAAGAAGAAUCUACCAGCAUCCCACGUCACCACCUCGCAGCACACGUGGUUGAUGCCAAGCAACAUGCCCCCCGAGUGCCCCACCGUCGGCACCCACUGCCACGCAAAACGCUCAAGAGGGUCGACAGCUAACAGAUCCCGAUGGUUAAAAUCAGCCUUGAUGGUUUCCUGCAAGCCUACUACGUCGAUCCCCUCUUCACGAAUGAAUUCUUUUAACUGGGUCCGCCUCCCAGCGUGGCCGAAACCCCAGAUGUUCCAGAAGAUGAAACGCAUUAAAUAAUGCGAUUGCGGAGGCGGAUACCGCGAGCGGUAACCGCUUUGGCCACUCGCCGUGUCUAGACAGGACGACAGGUUGAGGGGGACGGCGCAGCAUCUACUGCUAAGUCCUCCUGAUCAGGCCGCGCAACAGCCACCAGAGAAGCCCCUACUUCCUCUGCGGAUGGCGCAACACGGGCCGACGCUGCCUGGGCGAGCGCGGCCUGCGCGAUUUCCUUCGCACGGAUGAGAGACAAAAGCUCGCGCGCUUCACCCUCAUCAGACAUGACAACGCCACUAUCCUCUAAGACCCCCCCUAGACACUCAUUGGAAUACUCUUCAAAGAUCGUAAAACGGGGCAUGGGAUUACCUUCGAUUUCCCGGUUCUUCUGAGCCAGCAAGAGUUGGGCGCGUUGGAGAGCUGGAAGGUUGCCCUUGGCGCCCUUUGAGCGCGAGCUUGCCCUCUCCUGCGUCGCCGGAGUCGUCACCACCACCUUGGAGCUCUUGGUCGUGGAUAUGGUUGCCACCUUGGACACCUCCCCCCGAAGCGCGUCAGAGGCAGGGAGGGGAGUGGGCGACGAGGGACCACCAGCCGAGCCCCCAGGGGAGGCCAGCGCCAUCACCACCGGGCGGAGUGAGGCAGGCUUGCCCGCACGAACCAAGGGUGGGCUCGUCGGGGCCACCGGGGUAGACUUGUGGCCCGCCGGCUUCUUGGGAAGCCGCGCCCCGCCCCCACCGAGGCCGGGCAUAGACUUCGGGGAAUGUGUGGAGAAGGCGUGCGGUCACCCACCUCCACUGCCACCGGGGUGACAAGCAUCGAGCGGACCUCCGAGUCGCACGACGCCGAGACGCCCUUGUCGAGGUCGAGUCCAAGCGAUAAGUUGGAGCUGUACUGGUUGAAGCCCGUCUCGUUGCUGCCCACCACCACCUGACGCUCCUCCUGGUCCUUCGCGACACCCGCAGCCGGAGCCGCGGCCGGAGCAUCCUUGUCCUUGAGCCCGAGCUUGUCCCAAGACUCGGUAUCAAUGGAGUCGUCACCCAUGCUCGUGUCGCGGUCUUUGUCCUUGCCAUCUGGCCCCUGGUCCGCGUUAGCUGGGGGAGGGGGAGGGGGAGCCACGCCCUGUAGGCCCCCCGUCUCGGCCUCCAUCCGAAAGUCCCAGCCAUAAGGCGAUUCACACAACGGUGCUUGGGCGGCACACCCCACAACUUGACCCAUACGUCCGGCAUGAUCUCGGCCUUGGGCUCCUCCGAACGUGCUUCCUUGAUUUCCGCCAUGAUGUCGUUGAGGGAGAGGUACAGCUUGCCGCUGCGUGUCGCCAUCCGCAACAUGGCCUUGUUGGGGAAGACAACCGAGAACAAGACGUCGCCGAUAGCUGUCACCAGCCAAUCCCACUCCCCCUCGAAGAGGUGAGGGAGCUCCGCCUCCAGGAGAGGGAUCGACAGCAGGCCAGGCGCCGCCGAGAUAAUCGCAGCGUCCGCCACCUGCGGGGUGCAGACCUCCUCGCCCUCCAUCUCCACAUAGUGCAGGCAGAAGAAUCCCUCGCCGGGGAUGGCGUUGCCCAUGAUCUGGAGCAACAGAGGCCGCACCCGCGUGGGGCAGUGCGACGACGCGUGUCCCUUCUCGUGGCAGACGACGCAAAGGGGCUUGAAGAGGCACAUAUUUUGGUAGUGCCCCACCGGCCACACUUGAAGCACUCCGGCCCAUCAAGCUCCUCCAUUGGAAUCGGGGCGUCGACCGAACCCUUCGAAGCCGACGGCCCGGCCGCCAACUGCAGCAACGCCGAGCCGACCCCCUUUUGCUUCUGCUUCUUGGCCAACGGAUCCCCAAUCCGCUCACCGCUCGGAGGGAGCAGGGACUCCUUGCGCUUGAGCUCCUUCUUCUGCUCCAGGCCCCGGAGCCGAUACUCCUCCUUCCUCUUCUUUUUGCGCUCGCACUCCUCCUGCGCCUUCCUUUCUUGCUCCGCGAGCCACCAAGGAGGCGGCGGCCCCCAGCCACCUUCCGCCUGCGCCUUCCUUUCUUGCUCCGCGAGCCACCAAGUGGAAAAACAGCUUGGAGCCAAAUAGAAUGACCCAAACAUUAUAUGAAACUAGUUCAGUACUGUUCACUUCUCCUGAAACUAGAUCUGAACCUGUUGUGUCCAGCACCUGAAAUGUAUUCAGUGAUGCAUGUAGCAGAGGCAUGCUUGGUUGUUCUUCCCUAAUAUCUCAAUUCAGCUGAGGAAACUACAAAUGGCUCAGGCGUAAUACAGCAAAACCAAUCAUGCUUCACUGCCAAUCCGCAAGUUCAUCCAACUUUGCAGUGCUAUCACGCAUGUGAUCAUGUACACUCACACCAGGUUUAUGAUAUUGUGAAGGAGGAAGCAUAAUAUGUAUGUUCCUGCAUUUCCACACAUUUUCAGCGCUGAGGACAAGCAAAAAUUGCAUGGAAGGGUUGCAUACUACUCCUACUGCUGAUUGAAUCAGCAUUGUUGACAGUCAUAUGACUUUGCUGCUAAUCCAGAUAUUAUAUCAGGACUUUGUUAGGCAUAUAUUUCCUCAGCAGAAUUAUCUUAGCCUGGGAUAAAACCAAUUUAGCAAUGAACCAAGAAAUCUAGCACUGAAGAAACCAUGUAAUCAUAUAAUCCCGUACCAUCAAAACAAAUCAGACAAAUAAAAUUGAGUUCCAUGCUGCAAUACAAAUAAAAUUGAGUCGUCACCCAUGCUCGUGUCGCGGUCUUUGUCCUUGCCAUCUGGCCCCUGGUCCGCAUUAGCUAGGGGAGGGGGAGGGGGAGCAACGCCCUGUAGGCCCCCCGUCUCGGCCUCCAUCCGAAAGGUGAAGCCCUCACUGUUGAACCACACUUGGACGUACCCGCUUAGCUUGGCCGGGGAACGACGCGCGAAGCGCAUCCACACUGGGCCUAGCCCCCACCAGGGACGCCUUGUCCACCUCCAAUGGGCGCCCGAUCAUCAAAGUCCCAGCCAUAAGGCGAUCCACACAACGGUGCUUGGGCGGCACACCCCACAACUUGACCCAUACGUCCGGCAUGAUCUCGGCCUUGGGCUCCUCCGAACGUGCUUCCUUGAUUUCCGCCAUGAUGUCGUUGAGGGAGAGGUACAGCUUGCCGCUGCGUGUCGCCAUCCGCAACAUGGCCUUGUUGGGGAAGACAACCGAGAACAAGUCGUCGCCGAUGGCCGUCACCUGCCAAUCCCACUCUCCCUUGAAGAGGUGAGGGAGCUUCGCCUCUAGGAGAGGGAUCGACAGCAGGCCAGGCGCCGCCGAGAUAAUCGCAGCGUCCGCCACCUGCGGGGCGCAGACCUCCUCGCCCUCCAUCUCCACAUAGGGCAGGCAGAAGAAUCCCUCGCCGGGGAUGGCGUUGCCCAUGAUCUGGAGCAACAGAGGCCGCCCCCGUGUGGGGCAGUGCGCCGACGCGUGUCCCUCCUCGUGGCAGACAAUGCAAAGGGGCUUGAAGAGGCACAUAUUUUGGUAGUGUCCCACCCGGCCACACUUGAAGCACUCCGGCCCAUCAAGCUCCUCCAUUGGAAUCGGGGCGUCGACCGAACCCUUCGAAGCCGACGGCCCGGCCGCCAACUGCAGCAACGCCGAACCGACCCCCUUUUGCUUCUGCUUCUUGGCCAACAGAUCCCCAAUCCGCUCACCGCUCGGAGGGAGCAGGGACUCCUUGCGCUUGAGCUCCUUCUUCUGCUCCAGGCCCCGGAGCCGAUACUCCUCCUUCCUCUUCUUUUUGCGCUCGCGCUCCUCCUGCGCCUUCCUUUCUUGCUCCGCGAGCCACCAAGGAGGCGGCGGCCCCCAGCCACCUUCCUCCGCCGGUGGCGCCGGCACCUUUGCUCGCGCCUUCGCCCGCAUAUCUUGCUCGCGCCGAUGCUCCGUCGCCGGGAUCGGAGGCGACAUAGGCGGCUUGUCCACGCAACGGGAUCCCAUCCACACUACGGUGGCGAAUGAGCAGGAGAGGGGAGGGGGAGAGGUGGAGCGAUGCAGGCGGCGAGCGAGAUGCCCGAGACGCCGCACUUGAGAGGGGGAGGCAGGAAACCCUAGCGAAAGAUCUAGGGCACCCUUUAGCAGCCACACCCACCUAUAUAUAGGAGUGGUCGGCCGCGCCUCCACCUCCGCGGUGGGCCUGGGCCUAGACACAGGCGCACACGAGGCCACAGGGCCAGGCUGACCAGGCCCAAGCACUGGGGAGCGCCCCUGCACCCCCACUGGUAAAGAGACGGGCGGAACAGCCGUUGGGCCCCCCGGCCCACUCCCUGGCAGGCUGGGCCAGUCCACCAGGCCCAGCAAGGGCGCUGGCCCAGCCGAUGGCUCUCCCGCAACCCUAGCCUGGAUCCCCGGCUCCCUGCCCUGGGCAUCCCCGCCGCCGUCGUCAACCCCUGUCAACGCCGGCGCGCACGCCGAGACCUGGAGCGGACCAGCCAGCACCAGAUCCUGGCAACCUACCUUCGGCAGGACACACGAGCGGCCCUCUGGGCCCGCAUACACAUCCUUCGGCGGACGCCAGAUCCGCGGCGCCAGUUGCCGCCCGCCAUGGCCACCAGGGGCAAAGGCGCGCCGCCGGCCAGCCACGAGGGAGCCCCCAAGCUUCUCCGCUCGGGCGACAAAGUCACCCACCGAGAGCGCCGCACGGGGCCUCGGUGAACCACCACCACCACUUACCUGGCUACUCACCUCCUCGUCGUUGCCGUCGGAGUCGAUCCCCUCCAGCGCCCAGAACCUGCCGCCGGAGAGGGGCAGGGCGAGGGACCGCCCGUCGGACGGCACGCUCCACCGCGCGCGCCCCUCAGCAGGCCGCACCACCGUCUAGCCGUCCGCCGCCGCCACGGGCCCUCGUGCGUCGCCUUCCGCGGCGUCGCCCCCCGCGUCGCCAGACCGAAACGCCAUCACAAUCACAGUCAUAUUUUCCUCGGCAGAAUGAUCUUAACCUCUGAUAAAACCCAAUUUAGCAGUGAACCAAGAAAUCUAGCAUUGAAGAAACCAUAUAGGCAUAUAAUUCGGUACCAUCAAAACAAAUCAUACAAAUAAAAUUGAGUUCCAUGCUACAAUACAAGUAAGCAACCGUUCCCAAUUACUAUCACUUUGCAAUUGCAUCAAAGAUCGAACGUGUGUAAAAUAGUUCCAGGUCACUAGGCCUGCAUACUAGCGCCGUCGCCGUGGCGCUCCAUGACGCGACGCAUGGCCAACAAAAGCCCAAAAGCUGUAAUCUCCUAUCACCCAGAUGUCAUACGGCAGUCCAAUUAGCAGUGCAUUGGGUCACAAUUUGACAACAAAAUGAUGAGAAAAAUAAAGCUGUCAGUUUCCACCACUUUUUUUGCUAAUGUUGAAUGUGAAUCACGACCAUAUCAACCAAACACACAAAAUGCAUAUAGUAAGUUGGAUUGUGACAAAAUCUAUUUCAAAUUUGGACAAAUACUACAAUAAUCGUCUCUCUUAGUGUUUGUUUCUCGCUAACAAACUUGCACAAGCAUUUUGUGCAGGGCUCACACCUUCUUUUGUCGACUUCAUGGAUCCUUAGCAUGUAGCAAGGUUCGGCUUCUCUCCAGUUGGUCUGUUAGUGCAUCCGUAAUGUAGAUACCCAAAUCUAUCAAAGGCUCUCAUUUCUCCUCCUUAAUUCAGUUAUUAUUAAUUGGAAAAACAGCUUGGAGCCAAAUAGAAUGACCCAAACAUUAUAUGAAACUAGUUCAGUAUUGUUCACUUCUCCUGAAACUAGAUCUGAACCUGUUGUGUCCAGCACCUGAAAUGUAUUCAGUGAUGCAUGUAGCAGAGGCAUGCUUGGUUGUUCUUCCCUAAUAUCUCAAUUCAGCUGAGGAAACUACAAAUGGCUCAUGCGUAAUACAGCAAAACCAAUCAUGCUUCACUGCCGAUCCGCAAGUUCAUCCAACUUUGCAGUGUUGUCACGCAUGUGACCAUGUACACUCACACCAGGUUUAUGAUAUUGUGAAGUAGGAAGCAUAAUAUGUAUGUUCCUGCAUUUCCACACAUUUUCAGCGCUGAGGACAAGCAAAAAUUGCAUGGAAGGGUUGCAUACUACUCCUACUGCUGACUGAAUCAGCAUUGUUGACAGUCAUGUGACGUUGCUGCUAAUCCAGAUAUUAUAUCAGGACUUUGUUAGGCAUAUAUUUCCUCAGCAGAAUGAUCUUAGCCUCUGAUAAAACCCAAUUUAGCAGUGAACGAAGCAAAUCUAGCACUGAAGAAACCAUAUAAUCAUAUAAUUCCGUACCAUCAGAACAAAUCAGACAAAUAAAAUCGAGUUCCAUGCUGCAAUAAGUAAGCAAUCGUCCCCAAUUACUACCAGUUUGCAAUUGCAUCAAAGAUCGAACGUGUGUAAAACAGUUUCAGGUCACUAGGCCUGCAUACUGGCGCCGGCGCCGUGGCGCUCCAUGACCCGGCGCAUGGCCAGCGCCGCCGCCUCGCUUGCCCGCAGCGUCCCACUCGCCAUGAGCGCUGCCGAGAGGGUCAGCCAUAGCCGGCGCUGCUGCCGCGGCGGCUUUCUCCGGAGUCUGCUUCUCGACCUUCUUCUCUUCUUCUUGCUUGGAAGAAGAGCCAGUGGGCGCUGCACUAGCAGCAGCGGCAGUUGUAGAACUUGUAGGUGUUUUGCUGGCCGCCGUCGCCAUCGCAGCCGUUGGCUUGGGCACGGAGAGUGAGGCCGGAGUGGGCACGAACUGCAUGGUAUGGGGCGCUGCAUUGUUCCUGAGCGUGGCCUCGAGGUUCUGGAUCAUGGGCAUGAUCAUGGCGCCCAUGGGACUGGACAUGACCUCGUUGGGCAGGUUCAGUAUUAGUCGGGGAUCCCGGCCCCGCGCUACCGCCUGUUUGUUGGAGAUGCUCUUACAGAUGAAGAAGCUUGUGAGGAGUGGACCUUGGCAGUGGUGGAGCUAGAAAAUUUGCAAGGCCUAGGCAUACCGCAAGUCACUUUUUUUGAAAGUGCUUUACUUUACUUUACUUUGAUGUACCAAGAACCAUAUGUAUCACAUAUUUUGAUAAAUGCACUAUAUGUACUAGUGUUUCAUAGAUCAUCAUAUAUCUUUUUUUCGAAAGGAUCAUAGAUCAUAUAUUUAACAAAAAAGUGGGCACCACUCACCCAACUAACCAUUUUGGUACCCUAGGGGAGGCGAUCGGUUGAUUGCAGGCUAUGACUGUUCGUGUGUUCCUCUGAUUGAUCGAGCGCUGGAGAUGCACGCCCACGACAGCCUUUGCUGCGCUAGGGCAAGACACUCCUCCUAGCACUAUAAAAGCAACCCACCCACAACAUAGUAUCUCCCCUCCUCUCGGCACCAGCAACAAGCACACGCAAAACUCACAAGCAGCUAGCUAGUUAGCUAUGACCCAAAUGCUAGUGCUCGGUGUUGUUGCCAUAUUCCUCACCUCCUUGGCAAUGUCGACAUCAUGAGUAGAGAAGCACCUCCACCUCGUGGGCUCCCUCCCACGCGUCUCCCUCGGAGACCUUUCAAGGAAGCACGGUAUGCUCCUCCGACUCGGCGCCAUUCCCACGCUCGUCGUGUCUUCCCCUAGCGCGGCAAAGGCUGUCUCCUGCGCACCCAUGACAGCGUCUUUGCGUCCCGGCCUCCCUCCGCUAUAGGCGACAUCCUCUACACCGGCUCCACCAACAUCGCCAAUGCCCCCUACGGCGAAGCGACUACUUGCGUCAGACGAGAAAGAUCAUCACCACCCAUGUGCUCACGGCCAGGAAGGUCCGCUCCAACCUCACCUCCUGUGAGAAGGAGGUGCGCCUUGUCCUGGCCAAGCUAACGCAGGCGCAUGCUUGUUUGUUCUUCCCCAAUAUCCUCACUUCAAUUGCAUAUUAGUUUUGACACCUAUGACAACUAUCAACCAUGAUAAGAAAAAAAACAGGAAACUACAGGUGGCUCGAGGCAUGCCCGACUCUGCUCACCAAUUUAUAUGGAAAAAAGAUGUCUUUGCACUGUACCUACUAGAUCAUCCAACAUGUGCCAAUGGACACUCACACAAGGUUUAUGAUAUUGUUCAGGAGGAAGCAAAAUAUGUGUGUUCCUACAUUUUCACUUUUUCAGCGCAUGACUGAGGAGUGAGGACCAAGUAUGGCACUUUCGUCCAUAGAGUGAACCAAAAAUUGCAUGGAAGGGUUGCCCUGCUUACUACUCCUACUGCUGAUUGAAUUUGGCAACAUUAUUGACAGUCAUAUUUUCCUCAGCAGAAUGAUCUUAACCUCUGAUAAAACCCAAUUUAGCAGUGAACCAAGAAAUCUAGCAUUGAAGAAACCAUAUAGGCAUAUAUAAUCCCAUACCAUCAAAACAAAUCAGACAAAUAAAAUUGAGUUCCAUACUGCAAUACAAGUAAGCAACCGUUCCCAAUUACUUACUAUCAGUUUGCAAUUGCACCAAAGAUCGAACGUGUGUAAAAUAGUUUCAGGUCACUAGGCCUACAUACUAGCGCCAUCGCCGUGGCGCUCCAUGACGCGACGCAUGGCCAACAAAAGCCCAAAACUGUAAUCUCCUAUCACCCAGAUGUCAUACGGCAGUCCGAUUAGCAGUGCAUUGGGUCACAGUUUGACAACAAAACGAUGAGAAAAAUAAUACUAUUGGUUUCCGCAACUUUUUUUGCUAAUGUUGAAUGUGAAUCACCACCAUAUUACGAUGUUGAUCACUAAUCAACAAAACACACAAAAUGCAUAUAGUAAGUUGGGUUGUGACAUAAUCUAUUUCAAAUUUGUACAGAUACUACAAUAAUCGUCUCUCUUAGUGUUUGUUUCUCGCUAACAAACUUGCAAAGCAUUUUGUGCAGGGCUCAGACCUUCUUUUGUCGACUUCAUGGAUCCUUAGCAUCUAUAGCAGGGUUCGGCUCCUCUCCAGUUGGUCUGUUACUGCAUCCGUAAUGUAGUUACCCAAAUCUGUCGUCCGCUGAAAAUCAAAGGCUCUCCGUUCUCCUCUUUAAUUCAAUUAUUAUUUAUUGAUAAAACAGCUUGGAGGCAAAUAGAAUGACCCAAACAUUCUAUGAAACUCUCCUGAAACUAGAUCUGAACCUGUUGUGUCCAGCACCUGAAAUGUAUUCAGUGAUGCAUGUAGCAGAGGCAUGCUUGGUUGUUCUUCCCUAAUAUCUCAAUUCAGCCGAGGGAACUACAAAUGGCUCGGGCGUAAUACAGCAGAACAAAUCAUGCUUGACUCUGCCGAUCUGCUCACCAAUUUAUAUGGGAAAAAGAUGCGUGUGCGCUGUACCUACAAGUUCAUCCGACUUUGCAGUGCUGUCACGCAUGUGACCAUGUACACUCACAUCAGGUUUAUGAUAUUGUGAAGGAGUAUGUUCCUGCAUUUCCACACAUUUUCAGCGCUGAGGAGAACGAAAUAUGGCAAUUUCCUCUGUAGAGCGAAGCAAAAAUUGCAUGGAAGGGUUGCCUGCUACUCCUACUGCUGAUUGAAUCAGCAUUGUUAACAGUCAUAUGACUUUGCUGCUAAUCCAGAUAUUAUAUCAGGACUUUGUUAGGCAUAUAUUUCCUCAGCAGAAUGAUCUUAGCCUGGGAUAAAACCCAAUUUAGCAGUGAACCAAGAAAUCUAGCACUGAAGAAACCAUAUAAUCAUAUAAUUCCGCACCAUCAGAACAAAUCAGACAAAUAAAAUUGAGUUCCAUGCUGCAAUACAAGUAAGCAAGCGUUCCAAUUACUAUCAGUUUGCAGUUGCAUCAAAGAUCGAAGGUGUGUAAAAUACUUUCAGGCCACUAGGCCUGCAUACUGGCGCCGUCGCCGUGGCGCUCCAUGACCCGGCGCAUGGCCAGCGCCGCCGCCUCGCUCGCCCGCAGCGUGCCACUCGCCAUGAGCGCCGCAAACUCCCUCAUCACCUCCUCCUGCACCUUCCCCCUCGCGCUGCCGAGAGGGUCAGCCACAGUCGGCGGUGCCGGCGCGGCGGCUUUCUCCGGAGUCUGCUUCUCGACCUUCUUCUCUUCUUCUUUCUCGGAAGAAGAGCCAGCGGGCGCCGCACUAGCAGCGGCAGCGGCGGCUGUAGAACUAGCAUUGGCAGUAGGGGUUUUGCCGGCCGAAGCCGGCGGCUGCGGCACCGAGACGGAGGCCGGCGUGGGCACGAACUGGGUGGUCUGGGGCGCGGCGUUGUUCCUGAGCGUGGCCUCGAGGUUCUGGAUCAUGGGCAUGAUCAUGGCGCCCAUGGGGCUGGACAUGACCUCGCUGGGCAGGUUGAGGAUGUAGUCGGGGAUCCCGGCGCCGACGAGGAACUGCGCGACCUCGUUGCUGAAGUUGUUGCAGUUGUGGGUGAGCAGGCUGUAGGUGGCGGCGGUGUAGCGCGGCGCGAUGUCGCGGAGGUAGUCCUCGAAGACCUCGCGGGGCAGGUGGGUGACGCCCAGGUCGACGACCCGCGCGGGGCGGCCGUACUGCGUCGCCCCCGCCGGCGCCGCCUGGAUCCCGCCCCCGAAGAAGUACUCGUUGCCGUACACCACCACGCCCGUGUGCCUGCCGGAGCCAGCCGGUCGAACGGACCGGGUCAAAAUCGCGUCUUUUUCGGAUCAAUCGGAUCGAGAGAGGGGGAAUCUCGGAGGACUCACCAGAUGGCCUCGAUGGGCUUGCCGAGGAAGGAGGUGGAGAGCUGGCGCGCCAGGCCGUUGCUGAGGUCGUACACGUUGAGCGCCACCUUGUGCCCCUCCUGCCGUCCGCAACAAUCAAGCAAUCAGCGUCAGAUCUCGGGAAUCCCGGACCAAUUCGAUCGAUUGCGAGGGCGGCGCGCCGAACAACAACAACCAACAACGAAUUGGGAGUGAAGGGGAAGGGGCGAGCGCUUACCUCCGCCAUUAUCGCUUGGGAAAUCGCCGAGAUUCGAGUCGGAAGGGGCAGUCGAAUCUGGGGGAAGACGACGCCGCCGGAUGAGAACGGGAACAGGAACGCACGCGCGGAUCUGGGAGGAGCGGCGAAACAGAGCUGAGAGAGAGACAGAGACCGGCCGGGGGACGCGCGCG
rnacentral:lncRNA from 1 species